GGGAGCACACGGCUGUCUGGGCUCUGCUUUUCAGACCGUUGGGAGCAUUUUUUGGAGUUUAUAGCACCUGUUUACACAGAACUUGCGGAGGAAUCCACCUCCUCACUUUCAUCUGCGAUUAUAUGUGAGACAUCAAAAUUCUUCUGUGGCUCGACCAUCCCAGCACAGGGCACUUGCAGCUGUGGAUCUGCUCUCCCCGGGCCCAGGAGAGGAGCCGAGCUGUGAGAGCCAGCGCCCAGAUCUUCAUGUUUUAUCGCCUCAGAGCCAUCACCGAGGACCUGAAACCCAUGGCAGAGCAGGGCUACAUGGCCAGGCUGCUGACAAGCCAGGCCUUUGAUGUUCAGGAGGCCACCAGAUACUGGGCAUCUCAGGCUCUCUACUGGCUCUUCACGCCUUGCAAAGCCGCCGUGCACACCAAGACAGGGG